GUGUCAGCAGCCGCGGUAAUACGGAGGAUCCAAGCGUUAUCCGGAAUCAUUGGGUUUAAAGGGUCCGUAGGCGGCCUUGUAAGUCAGUGGUGAAAUCUCCCGGCUCAACCGGGAAACUGCCAUUGAUACUGCAGGGCUUGAAUAAUCGGGAAGUAACUAGAAUAUGUAGUGUAGCGGUGAAAUGCUUAGAUAUUACAUGGAAUACCAAUUGCGAAGGCAGGUUACUACCGGUUUAUUGACGCUGAUGGACGAAAGCGUGGGGAGCGAACAGGAUUAGAUACCCUGGUAGUCC
rnacentral:rRNA from 1 species